rnacentral:tRNA from 1 species
UCCCUGGUGGCUCAGAUGGUAAAGAAUCUGCCUGCAGUGCAGGAGACCUGGGUUCAAUCCCUGGAUUGGGAA